rnacentral:rRNA from 1 species
CGGAGGUCCCGAGCGUUGUUCGGAUUCACUGGGCGUAAAGGGUGCGUAGGUGGCAUGGUAAGUUUGAUGUGAAAGCUCAGGGCUUAACCCUGAAAUGGCAUUGAAUACUACUGUGCUGGAGGUUUGGAGGGGGGACUGGAAUUCUUGGUGUAGCAGUGAAAUGCGUAGAUAUCAAGAGGAACACCAGUGGCGAAGGCGAGUCCCUGGACAACACCUGACACUGAGGCACGAAAGCCGGGGGAGCAAACAGGAUUAGAUACCCUGGUAGUCCCGGCCCUAAACGGUGCACGCUUGCUGUAAGAGGAAUCGACCCCUCUUGUGGCGAAGCUAACGCGAUAAGCGUGCCGCCUGGGGAGUACGGUCGCAAGAUUA